rnacentral:rRNA from 1 species
AUUGAACGCUGGCGGCAGGCCUAACACAUGCAAGUCGAGCGGAUGAAGGGUGCUUGCUCCUGGAUUCAGCGGCGGACGGGUGAGUAAGGCCUAGGAAUCUGCCUGGUAGCGGGGGAUAACGUCCGGACACGGGCGCUAAUACGGCAUACGCCCUGAGGGAGAAAGUGGGGGAGCUUCGGACCUCACGCUAUCAGAUGAGCCUAGGUCGGAUUAGCUAGUUGGUGGGGUAAAGGCCUACCAAGGCGACGAUCCGUAACUGGUCUGAGAGGAUGAUCAGUCACACUGGAACUGAGACACGGUCCAGACUCCUACGGGAGGCAGCAGUGGGGAAUAUUGGACAAUGGGCGAAAGCCUGAUCCAGCCAUGCCGCGUGUGUGGAGAAGGUCUUCGGAUUGUAAAGCACUUUAGGUUGGGAGGAAGGGCAGUAAGUUAAUACCUUGCUGUUUUGACGUUACCAACAGAAUAAGCACCGGCUAACUUCGUG